rnacentral:rRNA from 1 species
UACAGAGGCCUCGAGCGUUAGGCGGAAUCACUGGGCUUAAAGCGUGUGUAGGUGGAUGCCUAAGUACCUUGUGAAAUCCCACGGCUUAACCGUGGAACUGCUGGGUAUACUGGGUGUCUUGAGCCACUCAGGGGCUACCGGAACAAAUGGUGGAGCGGUGAAAUGCGUAGAUAUCAUUUGGAACGCCAAUGGUGAAAACAGGUAGCUGGGGGGUGUGCUGACACUGAGACACGAAAGCCAGGGGAGCAAACGGG